rnacentral:rRNA from 1 species
UACGGAGGAUGCGAGCGUUAUCCGGAUUUAUUGGGUUUAAAGGGUGCGCAGGCGGAGGCACAAGUCAGCGGUAAAAUCGCGGGGCUCAACCCCGCUCCGCCGUUGAAACUGUGUCCCUUGAGUGCGCGAAGGGUAGGCGGAAUGCGUGGUGUAGCGGUGAAAUGCAUAGAUAUCACGCAGGACUCCGAUCGCGAAGGCAGCCUACCGGCGCGCAACUGACGCUCAGGCACGAAAGCGUGGGUAUCGAACAGG